rnacentral:rRNA from 1 species
UAAGGUAGCGAAAUUCCUUGUCGGGUAAGUUCCGACCUGCACGAAUGGCGUAACGAUGGCCACACUGUCUCCUCCUGAGACUCAGCGAAGUUGAAAUGUUUGUGAUGAUGCAAUCUACCCGCGGCUAGACGGAAAGACCCCAUGAACCUUUACUGUAGCUUUGUAUUGGACUUUGAACAGAUCUGUGUAGGAUAGGUGGGAGGCUUUGAAGUGUGGACGCCAGUCUGCAUGGAGCCGACCUUGAAAUACCACCCUUUAAUGUUUGAUGUUCUAACGUUGACCCGUAAUCCGGGUUGCGGACAGUGUCUGGUGGGUAGUUUGACUGGGGCGGUCUCCUCCUAAAGAGUAACGGAGGAGUACGAAGGUGGGCUCAGACCGGUCGGAAAUCGGUCGUAGAGUAUAAAGGCAAAAGCGCGCUUAACUGCGAGACCCACAAGUCGAGCAGAUACGAAAGUA